CUGGGAGCAAGGAGCUGAGGCAAGAGGAGAGCAGGCAGAUCUCCUGUUUCUGUAGGAGUGACGAUGAGCCACAGGAGGCCAGGCUCACUGCAGCUGGCACCACGCUGCUGCCGAAGGGGGGAAGAGAGAGAGAGAGUUACAUCCCCAGAAGUGUAGGGAAAGUGGGAUGGGCAGAGUUCAAAACCAGUUUUUUGGCGGGGAAGGCAGGGCAGCCACAACCAGCACCCAGGAACACACCAGAUUCUGGUCUCAAUGGAGAUGGAAAUAGGAGUUUUCCCCAUCUAUGCAGCUUGUUGGGAAGCAGUAAAAAGCUGCACACAACUUCAUGGAUCAGCCAGCCAAGCAGGAAUUGCUGGAGAACAAGUGCAAUGUAGAAACCACU
ensembl:lncRNA